rnacentral:rRNA from 1 species
AAUGAACGCUGGCGGCGCGCCUAAUACAUGCAAGUCGAGCGAGAAGACGUAGCAAUACGUUUGUAAAGCGGCGAACGGGUGAGGAAUACAUGGGUAACCUACCCUCGAGUGGGGAAGUAACUAGCCGAAAGGUUAGCUAAUACCGCGUACGCUCCUUGGACUUCGGUUCAGGGAGGAAAGCGAUACCGUGGGUAUCGCGCUCUUGGUUGGGCUCAUGUCCUAUCAGCUUGUUGGUGAGGAACGGCUCACCAAGGCUUCGACGGGUAGCUGGUCUGAGAGGACGAUCAGCCACACUGGCACUGCGACACGGGCCAGACUCCUACGGGAGGCAGCAGUAAGGAAUAUUGCGCAAUGGGCGAAAGCCUGACGCAGCGACGCCGCGUGGGGGAGUG